rnacentral:rRNA from 1 species
CGUUGAAGGUGUGCUGUAAGGCAUGCUGGAGGUAUCAGAAGUGCGAAUGCUGACAUGAGUAACGAUAAGAGGGGUGAAAAACCUCUCCGCCGAAAGAUCAAGGUUUCCUGCCCAACGUUAAUCGGGGCAGGGUGAGUCGGCACCUAAGGCGAGGCUGAAAGGCGUAGUCGAUGGAAAAUCGGUUAAAAUUCCGAUACCGACUCUUACUGCGAUGGAGUGACGGAGAAAGCUAGGCUGGCACGGCGUUGGUUGUCCGUGUUCAAGCGUGUAGGGAGAGGACUUAGGCAAAUCCGGGUCCUCACUAUCCUGAGACGUGAUGACGAGUCAAUUCUACGGAAUUGAUGAAGUGGUUGAUGCUCUGCUUCCAGGAAAAUCUUCUAAGCUAUAGGUAAGAGUUGACCGUACUGUAAACCGACACAGGUGAUCAGGUAGAGAAUACCAAGGCGCUUGAGAGAACUUGGGUGAAGGAACUAGGCAAAAUGGUACCGUA